rnacentral:rRNA from 1 species
GACGGAAGGUGCAAGCGUUGCUCGGAAUCACUGGGCGUAAAGGGUGCGCAGGCGGAUAUGUAAGUCAGUGGUGAAAUCUCCGGGCUUAACCCGGAAACUGCCGUUGAUACUAUAUAUCUUGAAUGCUGUGGAGGUAAGCAGAAUAUGUCAUGUAGCGGUGAAAUGCUUAGAUAUGACAUAGAAUACCUAUUGCGAAGGCAGCUUACUACGCAGAUAUUGACGCUCAUGCACGAAAGCGUGGGGAUCAAACAGG